rnacentral:rRNA from 1 species
UACGAAGGGUGCAAGCGUUGUUCGGAAUCAUUGGGCGUAAAGCGCGCGCAGGCGGAUCAGCAAGUCAGAUGUGAAAUCUCGAAGCCCAACUUCGAAACAGCGUCUGAAACUGCUAGUCUAGAAUGUCGGAGGGGGCAGGGGAAUUUCACGUGUAGGGGUAAAAUCCGUAGAGAUGUGAAGGAACACCGGGGGCGAAGGCGCCUGCCUGGACGACUAUUGACGCUGAGGCGCGAAAGCGUGGGGAGCAAACAGG